rnacentral:rRNA from 1 species
GAAUUCGCCCUUAGAGUUUGAUUUUGGCUCAGGACGAACGCUGGCGGCGUGCCUAACACAUGCAAGUCGAACGAAGCAAGAGUCUUCGGACUCUUACUUAGUGGCGGACGGGUGAGUAACGCGUGAAUAACCUGCCCUUCAGUGUGGAAUAACGUCUGGAAACGGACGGUAAUACCGCAUAACAUCUUAGUGCCGCAUGACACAGAGAUCAAAGGAACAAUUCGCUGAAGGAUGGAUUCGCGUCCGAUUAGCCAGUUGGCGGGGUAACGGCCCACCAAAGCGACGAUCGGUAGCCGGACUGAGAGGUCGAACGGCCACAUUGGGACUGAGACACGGCCCAGACUCCUACGGGAGGCAGCAGUGGGGAAUAUUGCACAAUGGGCGAAAGCCUGAUGCAGCAACGCCGCGUGAGCGAUGAAGGCCUUCGGGUUGUAAAGCUCUGUCCUCAAGGAAGAUAAUGACGGUACUUGAGGAGGAAGCCCCGGCUAACUACGUGCCAGCAGCCGCGGUAAUACGUAGGGGGCUAGCGUUAUCCGGAAUUACUGGGCGUAAAGGGCGUGUAGGCGGCUCUUUAAGUCUGGAGUGAAAGUCCUGCUUUCAAGGUGGGAAUUGCUUUGGAGACUGGAGAGCCUGAGUGCGGAAGAGGUAAGUGGAAUUCCCAGUGUAGCGGUGAAAUGCGUAGAGAUUGGGAGGAACCCCGAUUGCGAAGGCAGCAUGCCAGUGCGCCACUGACGCUAAAGCUCGAAAGUGCGGGUAUCGAACAGGAUUAGAUACCCUGGUAGUCCGCACGGUAAACGAUGGAUGCCCGCCGUCCGCGCCGUUGGCGUGUGCGGCCAAGCGAAAGCAUUAAGCAUCCCACCUGGGGAGUACGCCGGCAACGGUGAAACUCAAAGGAAUUGACGGGGGCCCGCACAAGCGGAGGAACAUGUGGUUUAAUUCGAUGAUACGCGAGGAACCUUACCCGGGCUUGAAUUGUGGCAGGCGUGCCUGGAGACAGGCAUUCCCCUCGGGGCUGCCAUGAAGGUGCUGCAUGGUUGUCGUCAGCUCGUGCCGUGAGGUGUCGGCUUAAGUGCCAUAACGAGCGCAACCCUUGUCAUUAGUUGCCAUCACUAAGGGUGGGCACUCUAAUGAGACUGCCGGGGACAACUCGGAGGAAGGUGGGGAUGACGUCAAAUAAUCAUGCCCCUUACGUUCUGGGCUACACACGUGCUACAAUGGUCGGUACAAAGAGCAGCGAGACCGUGAGGUGGAGCAAAUCUCAAAAACCGAUCCCAGUUCGGAUUGCAGGCUGCAACUCGCCUGCAUGAAGUCGGAGUUGCUAGUAAUCGCGAAUCAGAAUGUCGCGGUGAAUGCGUUCCCGGGUCUUGUACUCACCGCCCGUCA